rnacentral:rRNA from 1 species
UACAGAGGAUGCAAGCGUUAUCCGGAAUGAUUGGGCGUAAAGCGUCUGUAGGUGGCUUUUUAAGUCCGCCGUCAAAUCCCAGGGCUCAACUCUGGACAGGCGGUGGAAACUACCAAGCUGGAGUACGGUAGGGGCAGAGGGAAUUUCCGGUGGAGCGGUGAAAUGCGCAGAUAUCAGGAGGAACACCGGUGGCGAAGGCGGGUCUCUGGGCCGAUACUGACGCUGAGACGCGAAAGCGUGGGGAGCGAACAGG